rnacentral:rRNA from 1 species
CAGCAGCCGCGGAAUACGGAGGGUGCAAGCGUUAAUCGGAAUUACUGGGCGUAAAGCGCACGCAGGCGGUCUGACAAGUCAGAUGUGAAAUCCCCGGGCUUAACCUGGGAACUGCAUUUGAAACUGUCAGGCUGGAGUCUUGUAGAGGGGGGUGGAAUUCCAGGUGUAGCGGUGAAAUGCGUAGAGAUCUGGAGGAAUACCGGUGGCGAAGGCGGCCCCCUGGACAAAGACUGACGCUCAGGUGCGAAAGCGUGGGGAGCAAACAGGAUUAGAUACCCCGGUAGUCCCUGUCUCUUAUACA